UACAGAGGGGGCAAGCGUUGUCCGGAAUUAUUGGGCGUAAAGCGCGCGCAGGCGGUUUUUUAAGUCUGGUGUUUAAGCCCGGGGCUCAACCCCGGUUCGCAUCGGAAACUGGAAGACUUGAGUGCAGGAGAGGAAAGUGGAAUUCCACGUGUAGCGGUGAAAUGCGUAGAGAUGUGGAGGAACACCAGUGGCGAAGGCGUCUUUCUGGACUGUAACUGACGCUGAGGCGCGAAAGCGUGGGGAGCAAACAGG
rnacentral:rRNA from 1 species